rnacentral:rRNA from 1 species
GAGUUUGAUCAUGGCUCAGGAUGAACGCUGGCGGCGUGCCUAAUACAUGCAAGUCGAGCGAACAGACGAGGAGCUUGCUCCUCUGACGUUAGCGGCGGACGGGUGAGUAACACGUGGAUAACCUACCUAUAAGACUGGGAUAACUUCGGGAAACCGGAGCUAAUACCGGAUAAUAUAUUGAACCGCAUGGUUCAAUAGUGAAAGACGGUUUUGCUGUCACUUAUAGAUGGAUCCGCGCCGCAUUAGCUAGUUGGUAAGGUAACGGCUUACCAAGGCAACGAUGCGUAGCCGACCUGAGAGGGUGAUCGGCCACACUGGAACUGAGACACGGUCCAGACUCCUACGGGAGGCAGCAGUAAGGAAUCUUCCGCAAUGGGCGAAAGCCUGACGGAGCAACGCCGCGUGAGUGAUGAAGGUCUUCGGAUCGUAAAACUCUGUUAUUAGGGAAGACAAAUGCGUAAGUAACUAUGCACGUCUUGACGGUACCUAAUCAGAAAGCCACGGCUAACUACGUGCCACG